rnacentral:rRNA from 1 species
GAUGAAGGUGCUUGCACUUCUGACCUUAGCGGCGAACGGGUGAGUAACACGUAAGGAAUCUACCUAUAANCGGGGGAUAACAUUCGGAAACGGGUGCUAAUACCGCAUAAUAUCUUCUUCCGCAUGGAAGAAGAUUGAAAGACGGCCCUGCUGUCACUUAUAGAUGACCUUGCGGUGCAUUAGUUAGUUGGUGGGGUAACGGCCUACCAAGACGAUGAUGCAUAGCCGACCUGAGAGGGUGAUCGGCCACAUUGGGACUGAGACACGGCCCAAACUCCUACGGGAGGCAGCAGUAGGGAAUCUUCCGCAAUGGGCGAAAGCCUGACGGAGCAAUGCCGCGUGAGUGAAGAAGGCCUUCGGGGUCGUAAAACUCUGUUAUAAGAGAAGAACAAAUUGUAGAGUAACUGCUACAGUCUUGACGGUAUCUUAUCAGAAAGCCACGGCUAACUACGUGCCAGCAGCCGCGGUAAUACGUAGGUGGCAAGCGUUGUCCGGAUUUAUUGGGGCGUAAGGGAGCGCANGUGGNUUUCUUAAGUCUGAUGUGAAAGCCCCCGGCUUAACCGGGGAGGGUCAUUGGNAACUGGGGAAACCUUGAAGUCCAGAGAGGAUGUGGAACUCCAUGUGU